rnacentral:rRNA from 1 species
AUUGAACGCUGGCGGCAUGCCUUACACAUGCAAGUCGAACGGCAGCACGGGUGCUUGCACCUGGUGGCGAGUGGCGAACGGGUGAGUAAAGUAUCGGAACGUGCCUGGUAGUGGGGGAUAACUAGUCGAAAGACUAGCUAAUACCGCAUACGAUCUAAGGAUGAAAACAGGGGACCUUCGGGCCUUGUGCUAUCAGAGCGGCCGAUAUCUGAUUAGCUAGUUGGUGGGGUAAAAGCCCACCAAGGCGACGAUCAGUAGCUGGUCUGAGAGGACGACCAGCCACACUGGAACUGAGACACGGUCCAGACUCCUACGGGAGGCAGCAGUGGGGAAUUUUGGACAAUGGGGGCAACCCUGAUCCAGCAAUGCCGCGUGAGUAAAGAAGGCCCUCGGGUUGUAAAGCUCUUUUGUCAGGGAAGAAAAGGCUGUGGCUAAUAUCCACAGCUGCUGACGGUACCUGAAGAAUAAGCCACGGCUAACUACGUGCCAGCCGCCGCCGUAAUAC